GACAAACAUAUAUGUUUGUCUGGUUGUAUAAAGUAGCUGAGGCUACUCACUUAGCAGUACAUAUAGCAGCAUCCAUCCAUCCAUCCAUUAAUCUGCAUAGUUGAUAUUUCUCGUACCUUGAUUUUUGCGUACAUGCUCAAUAAAACAAAAAGACAGACGUUGAGACACUCAACGUCUGCAUUUUUUUCAUGUAAAGUACGAGUUAUUGAACUCAUCCUCAGACAGAUCACUCUAUUGCCUUCAUUCUUGGGCAGACUCUCAUGUAUGUAUGUGCAACGUAUCUACAUACAUUCUGUAUUAUAAAGUGCAAUUAUUUUCUCCGGUUCGAAAUUAUUUUAAUGAAUAAAUAAUUGAAAAUGUUUAAUUGGAAGUGUUUAAGACUCAUCGUUCAUCACUACACUUACGAAGAUAUUAAAAAUGCGCGUUUCUGCUUCGUAAUGUGAUCUUCGUAAAGUUGCGAAGGCUACCUUGAAAUGAUUAAUUUACUAAUUGUGAUUUUCGUUCGUCUUAAGUAAUUAGUCAGUUUUGGGUUACGACAAUCUUCUCCUAAUUUUGCAAGUAAUUAUAAUCAGAAACAAUAAGAUGGAAAUUGAUAGGAAAUCAGAGCCUAUACGAUUCGCCGAAAAAAGUGACGAAAGUUCCGGUCCAGUUACAUAGGAACAAGAAGAAAAAAACCAUCGUCGCUGCUAAACACCAACUUGAGAAUUCAGUCUGACCAGGCCGAUGUGGGAUCUCCGCCUUCUUGAAGUUUAGCAAAUUGUUCGUCACAACUUUCUUGAAAUUUUAAAUUUUUCAAUAUAUAAGAAUUUGUCAGAAAAUUUUCUAAAAUAUUUAAAAUUUCGAAAAAGCUGAGAUUGCAAUUAAACAUGACGAAAUAAUAAUAUAACGAUAAGAAUAUGCCUAAAUUAUCUGUUAAGAUCAGUGGAACAUAAGUCUAGGAAUAGGUACAAUGUGUGUCAAAUAUUAAUUGAGCAUCAAGCUCACCAAUUGAAAAAUUCAUACAUACAGGGUGGUUUAAACGUCGCGUUAAAAUGGAAAAUUUGGCGAAAGGCAGUAGCGGAACUAUAAAUUUGGGGCCGGUAGGCAAAGGUAUGUCGGGGGCCCCUGUCCCUGACAGAUUUGAAAAUAUUCCAGAAAUUAGGGGCAUUUUGUGGUUUUAGGUAGGUAAUUUUGCGCCGUAUGGUCAAACGACAAAGAUUAUACUUAAAAUUAUAUGUAUAUUACUAAAACCACAAUUUCUAAAACCGAGGGUAGAGCUGGCUGGUAGCAAGGAAUUCAGUUUUUGCAGUAGUUUAAUUAAUGCCUUUUGAGCUAACUAACCAAAAAAAUUGAUAAUUUUAGAGCAUGAAAAAUUAUUAAUCAAGAUUGGAUCGCAAAGCCUGUAGCAAAAUUAAUAACAAAUUUGAUUGUGCCAUUUAAGAAUUUUUGGAAUGGAAAUUAUAAUAUAGAUAUUUGACAAAAUUUCUUCACAGAAAUUCAAUUUGUCUGGAGUUUGUUAUGCCCCUUUUGCAACGCUUGUCCCUAGUUUCCUCAAUGUUCGGGAGGUAACGAAUUUAUAAAAAUUCCGUGGAAUUUCGGGGCCCCUACGCAAGGCCUACCCUGCCUACCCCUAGUUCCGCUAGUGGCGAAAGGAAAAGCCCCUAAAUCUCCACUGCUUCCAGAUUUUGGAUUUAGAUUUUAAGUAGAUAUUAUCAAACCUGAUGGAACACUGAUGACAAAAUUCUUGAAAUGUUGAAUUUCAGAGACAACAUAGGUAUGUAACUAAUGGAGAUUUGCGAAUUUUUCUCAUCCAAAAAUUUUCCGUUAUAGCGUUACAUUAAAACCACCCUGUAUGUACAUAGAUACAUGUACAUAUUAUGUAUUCCUCCUUUUCUUAGAGCCGGCCAAUUCAUGGGGAACACACGUGAUGCUACAUAUUCAAAUAAGAGGACUAAUGCAUUACUAAAAUAUUUAGGUAGUACAUUAUCUUGCUCUGUGCAUUCAGGUUAUUUUGGAAAACACAUCGAAACCAGCUUUUUCUGCUAAUUAUAUAGCCUUAUGUAAAUACCUUAUACAUACAUAGAUAUUUAGUUGCUCAAGUUAUGUAUACUACUUAUACUUCAAUGCAACAUGCAAUUUUUUACGUAGGUUUAGAGCUCGUGUAUGCAGUUGAUGUUCAGGCCGGUUCAUGUGCCAAUUACGUGUGCACUUUUUCUAAAAAAUAAUGCUACUGUCCCCACCUGUUUAGAAUAAGGAUUAUAUAUACAGAUUCCUACGUAGGGAAAUCGCAGCAAGGAUAAUUACUCUGAUGGCUGACUUAUGUAUGUACGUAGCCAAGCCAUAAAGAUGUUAUGCAUCUAGCUACGACAAUUAGCUGAAUAGGUUAAAUAUGUACAUACAUGCUUCAUAAUAUUGACAUAAAUCUGCAUUUCCUUUAUUGAAACGAGCAGAAACAGUUUGCAUUUUGUCAAGGUUUAUAGACCAGAAAUUUUAUGGGGAAGCUUUACAAGUGUAUGGUAAUAGUUGAUAACCCAAUUCGGGGUCGCAUAGGUAACGCUAUCCUGGGUAUCAAGUUUCAGUAGUUUGCUCAGUACAUACAUAUUUUUGUGCUUUUUUUAGUGUCUGAAUUUGAUGGAAUUUCCUAAAUUUUUACUAAUUAAUGUGUAGAUAAAACUAAAAAUCUGAGGCAUGUAUGUAUGGUUCGGGUUGCAUUGUUGUAUUAUGCAAUCCGAAAGGUCUGAAUUGAAAAAAGUCUGCACGUGUCAGAUUGCUUUCCAUGUUCAUUUAUGUGAAACAGAUUCUAUCCGUUAGCAUAUUACAAGAUUGAUAAGUCUAAUCUAAGAAAUAUAUAAAUAUGUAUGUACGUACCACCCUUCUAUCUUAAAAAGCAACUCUCACAAGAAAAGAGAACGGUCUAGAAAACAUGAUUGCUUGCAUUACUACGCUCAUGCGACUUGCUAUAAAUUUAUUCAUAUAUUUAAAAAUGUAAUUAAUCAUAGUACGAAACAAAGCCAACUUUUUGUAAAUUUCAUUUUCACUAACGUACAUAUUAAUUUCAGUAACCAGUUUUCUCACUAUGAAUUUUGCACAAUUGCGUACAAAGGAGUUUUGUGCACAAUAGUCAACCCCAGGCUUAAUAGUAGGAUCUAAACAGAUUGUAAAAUUUGCAGCAAUAAAACAAUGCCGUUUUUAUUUACAAUUGGAAAUUUUGUCUUCGACGAAGAUGAUUUCCACAGCUCCCGGAAGUAAGAAAUUCUCUCACAAAUGUAUGGUGGUUGAAUUGCCUCAAUCUUGAAAUGAAUUUAACUUUAAAAAUAUUAGAUGUAUGUGCCACCCCUUAAACUUAGUUGUAAUAUGUUCAGUUGACAUUUGUUUACUAUUAUCUGUAAUACAUUUAGUUAUAUAUUUACUUUACACAGUUAAUACAUUUAUUUAUAAUCUAUUUCGUAAUGUUAAAACUCUGUCAAUUGCGAAUAAAUUGUUAAAAAAUA